GAAAUGUACAUCGAUGCAUAUUUCAGUCUUCAAUUCUGAUGAAAUCAUAAAAAGGGCAGCUUUUUCGACAAAGUUAGAUUUUAUUAACUUGAAAGUUGAGUAUCACUAUACAAACUUGGAGUAAGCUACUUAGGUGGGUAUUUCUAAUCAUUAUAGAAAGCUCUGUUGGGAAGACCCUUUUUGGUACAUUAUUCUAAUUACGCCUAACAAAUGAAUACGAAGAGAAAGUAAACUUUGAAUUCUAGAACUCCAAAUCACGUAGGAUGUUAAUAAGUGAAAAAUCAGUAGAUAUUUUCUUUUAAAUUUUAAGUAUAUAAAAGCCUCUGCGGCAUCAAUGUAAACUUCUUCAAGAUGAUGUAUGAAGAUAGCAAAAGAUGAAUGUGACCGACAAUAUGACUAGAUGAAGUCAUUUUUGAAAAAAAAAAAUCAAUAACAAAAUUCUGAUUUAACAUAAUUUACUAAAAUUUUAAUUCAAGCCAACACUAACUAUAUAUUUAUUAAAGAAUAAUGAAGAUUGCUGUUAUUUUAAUUCAAACCAAAAAUUUAUUAAAAAUAGCAAUAAGAUCUCUAGAAUUUUUUAAUUAUUUGUUUGUUUACAAUAUUUUCAAUCUAUAAUGAUUUUUCAAUACUUUAUAAAUUAAUAUAAAAUAAUUUUUAUAUAACUUUCUGCCCGUAGGGCGGACCGGCGUUGAGGUCUUGGGUCGAAGGGAGAGGGAGAGAGAGAGUAAGAGGGUUGUGAGGAGAACAGAGAGAAUCGUCAUGGAGGAGUUGGGGAAGACUUGCAUUGUGCGAUGAUUCAUAGAAGGAGAAGGAGAGAGAGAGAGAGACGAUAGAAGAAAGAGAAGGCUCUUUUGUAGAGCUGUGGUUAUAGAGACAGAAGUGAAAGCAUUCAACAGCCUAAUCCUAGAUGUAACAAACGCUGCUGCAGAAUGAAAAUGGAAUCAUGUAAGCUGUUCAUCGGUCGAAGUGAUGCUCAUGAAGGAUCGGCCACUGGCUGUGCUUAUGGUUUUGUUUUGUUUUUUUUUUUUUUUGUCUUCACUGAUUUCAGAGUUGCUGAGAGAGUCUUAUUGCUUCUAUACGUAAUUCAUAUUAAAUUUUAAGUUUUCAUCAAAUUUCUUUUGAGCCAAUACUUCAUUGCUUCAGUAUCAAUCUGCUUCUUAAAAUAAUUCAUUGUUUGGAACAGAGGUUACUGCUCCUCCAGGUAAAGCUAUUCGUUUCUUUGGAGAGCGCACCACCAAACCGUCACGAGGAUCUCUAUCUCCUUCUCUGUUGUGCAGGAGACGAUCUCCAUCUCUAUUCGUCCUUUCCGAACCUGAGAAACGUGAACCGAGAUGGUACCUUUGUCAUUAUCUCAACAUAAUCUCCGGCCGCCGGAAUCUGUAUCUACGGUGUUUCGGGGUUACGCAACCGCCACAUCGAAACACGCCUGCGACCAUCUUCGCCGUCACCUCCGACUUGGCUUCCAUAUCCGCUCUUCCCUUCAGGUUCAAGCUAAUUUUCUUCUCUUAUAUUUUUCUCCUAAAGUUUAGAACUUUGGAACAAAAAAGGUUUAAACUUUCUUCACCUGUGUGCUUUGUGAUUAGCUCUUUUGCAAUUCUAAUUGUAAAAAGGUUUCAACUUUCAAUCACGAUCAUAUCUGCUUUCAAGAUUUAUCUCAUUUUGUCUUGGACUCUCUGUCUCUCUGCUGCUUUUGAGAGAUACUGCUGCAAGUCUAUGAUGCUGCACGAACGGAGUUCUCAAGAAGAGUCGUUGUAUUCAACAGGGCUAAGUUUCUUCACUCCAGAGAUGAUAUCAGAUCUUCGUUAUCUGUAUGUUUCUUUAGUGGAUGAGAGAGUAGGAUAGGUCCUAGAGGUGAGGAGGGGUCAUCAUCAAACCAGGAGACAUCCAAGAGAAACACAAGCAGUGGACGGAGGUGGACCAAUGUCCUCCUUGCCGUUAACGUUAUAAUGUAUAUUGCACAAGUUGCAUCCAAUGGUAGAGUGCUGACAUGGGGAGCCAAGGUAUCAUAUUCAGAUACUUGAUUAAAUACAAGAGGGAAACAGUUUGAUAUCUGAAUAUCUCUGUUCCAUUUCUCUUAAGUCUAUCUCCAAUGAAUUUUUUUGGUUCUUACGAUAAGCCAACUCAUCUAAUAGCUUUUACAGAUAAAACGUUGUUUGUUCUCUUCUCACCGCUUGCUCGAAACAGGUAUGUUAAUUAUUAUUUUUGGUCCUGUGGAAUUUCAGGGCUUUGUUUUUUUUAAUAAGUUACAAUGUUUAGAUUAAGAGUCUUGGCCUUGUGUUUGUCCGCUCGAACCUGCAAAAUCAGAGCUUUUUAUGUGUUUUGUGUUUGUACUAAUCUAUAUAGUGUAUCAAAGGAUUUUCUUGAGAGUAUCUCCAUAUUUAGUGGUCUGAACAAAAUGUUCUUUAUCGAGAUUAUGUAGAUCUAUUAUUUUCAUUUCUUUGGAGUUGCACAAAUGAACGGAGCAAUCUUUUUCUAAUAUAUAGCUUUGUGACAUGUUUCUAGAUUAUUGUGAAGUUGCAUCCGACAUUAGAGGUAGUUCUUGACUUUGAAAAUAUUCUGGUUUUCUUUAAUGGGUAUCUUCAUAGUGUGGUCACUUUAUUUAAUGUUUUCACCAUGGUUACAGGGAGAGUUUGAUGCAGUGUUAAAAUUUUCAGGUACCGUUAACAGAUAUGUGGAAUAUGUUCAUAACUUCUUUCAUGCUAGAGAUUGUUGGGAGCUAUCACUUAUUUUUCUCUUGCAUCUAGCGAGUAAACAUGAUCUCCGUUGAUUUAAAUCAAGCAGUCCAGCUGUUGGAUUUCCAUUGAAGAGAAUAAAAGUUUGUAUGGGAUAAAUUUUCAAUUGAUCAGGAUCUGUGUUGUUGGAUGAGUUUCAGAAAGCGGUAACGGGCAUGGAAGGAGCUGAUGUGCUUUCAAGUGUGAAGAUGUUCUAAACGAUAGAGGCCUGACCGAUUCAGUGAUGACUGAAUCAGUCUAAAGGAUUUGUAAGCAUCGCCAAUUAUAGAAAUGGGUACAACACCUUCUUCAAUGACGCGAGUUAUGUAAUAUUCAUCUUACAAGCUCCAAAACGCAUUUCUUGCCUUUCUAAAGGAUCUAUAGAUCUUUUAAAUUAUUCUUAUACUAUAAAUCAGGAGAUCUGCCCAGAUGUGUGGGUAGAGUAGAGAUGGCUGAAGGCGCAGCUAGCUGAUGAGAUCAUUUGUUUUAGCUGGGAGUAUGAUUAUGUCAACUUCAUGUUGUAACAUGUAUACGUUUGUGGAAUAGAUUUGCAUUCUUUUAAAAUCUGGUCAAGAUAAGGUUAAUAAGUUCAAUUCAGCAUUUUAAACAAAAGUCGAAGUUAUAAAUUGCACAAACCAUUGUAUUAAGGUUAUUAUUUGAUUUAUAUAAUUAUUUGUGCACCCAGUUAAAAAAUGUUUGGCUUCACCCCUGCUCUCAACUAUGUAUAAUAAUUUUCAAUAAGACUAUGUAUAAUUGGCACUAUCUUUAGAAAUGUAAUAUUUAGAGAAAAUAGUUUUAAAUAUAACGUUCCGCCGGUAGGGCAGACAAACCCCUAGAUAUAGAAGAAAAAGAAAAAAAUAUUAAGAUAAAUCAUUUUAUUACAAUUUAUCGAUAGUGAAUGGAAACAUUAAAGAAAAAUAUUUCAACUUCCAAGAGAAUUAGAAUCCUCAUUUGUAGUGAAUAUUUAGUUAUACAAAACAAAUUUGAUCACGAAAAAUUUCCAGAACCCUGGAUAUCCAUUUGGUGCCCACUCUUAUGUGUAUGUAAAAAAUAUAUAGAGGUAGUUUAUAAAUAUAUAAAAUACUGUAAUUAGUACUAAAAUAUAUUUUUGUUUAAAAUAACACAUGAAAGAUAAUACUCUAUUAAAAUCAUUUAAAUAAAAAUAAAAUAAGUGUAGACAAUAAGAAAUUACAUUCAUUAAGUUAGAUAUCAUUUUCAAAAAUAUAUUUAAUCAAAAUUACUAUACCGUUUGAGUUUAUAGGUUAGUGAUUAUUGUUUAGGUUUAAUAUUUAGGGAAUAAAAUUAAGUUUAUGUAGGAUUUUGUUGCUCGAGAAAUAAUUUAACGAAUAUAUAAAAUUAAAUAUCAUACUUAAAAGUAGAAUGUUAAAUUCUCUAUAUAGUAGCGUCUUCUUCGAAUUUUACUAUAUAUACAUAUAUACUUUAGAAAACUUUGAAUCUAUUAAUUAUUUGGUUAAUAGUUGUAAUUUUUAAAAGCCCAAACUAUUUUUAAUUAUUUAUUUAUCAGAUUAUAUGAUAUGUCAUAUAAAACAAAAAUAUUUUUAAAAUAGUUUUACUAUAAUUGGUACUAGAAUUUUUUUAAAAAUAUCAAUUUAAUCAAAUAGAACCUAAAUGUAACAAAUUAAAAUAUAUAAUCCGCGCGUAGCGCGGAAAAAGACUCUAGUUGAAUCUAAAAAUCUCUCUCAUGCCCGCAUCAGCUAAUAUUAAGAUACGUUCCGUCGUCAACAAUCAAAACUAAUAAUGAUAAUAUAGAUAUUAGGGAAACUAAUUAAGAAUAAUCAACAACACAUGGUUUUUCCAUUUUUUAUUUCUUUUUAAUUGUCCCUUACACCAACUUCUUUCAAGUUUUUCUUAGGUGUUGAAAGUGAGACUAAUAAAUAGCAAAUGAAACUUUUUACAUAAACUUUUUACAUAAAUAGCAUAACUAAAAUUUUAGUGUAUCAAUAAUUUAGUGAAUUUGCGAAUUUAUUAGAAAUGUUAUAUACCAUAUAGAACAUAUUAAAUUUAAAUAAUAUAAAACUGAAUAAUUUAGAAACUUGUAGUCUAAGGCUAUAUAUAUGUAUUCUCAAACUGUAACCAAAUAUAAUAUCUACAUUAAGUUACUCAACUAUCAUAACC